UACCGUUAAGUUAUAUCUGAUUAAAUUCGAAUUAAAUUUCUACUGAAGUUAAAAGAAAAAUCAAAAUAUCUCUUUUUCCUUAACUUAAGGGCAAAUAAAAAAACCUGGUGAUGAUGGAAAGAUAUAUUUGAAAAGACAGAAAAUCAAAAUAUUUUUUUUGUCCCUAUACUAAGGACAAAUAAGAAAAGUAAGUGACAGUGAAAGAGUAUAUUUGAAAGGGCAAAACUAAUAAUUUCACAGGAUCGAUAACGGUUGUUGCUAAUAAUUUACUAAUAAAAUUUAACUCUCGAGAUAUAUUUGAAAUAACUUGGAACAUUAUAAGCCUUUUAAGAGUGUAAAUCAAAAAGUCAGGAACUUUUUCAGAAAUAUAUAAAUAAUUGCUCCUAUAUUAAAUAUUCUAUAAAUGAAAGAUAUAGAUAAGGGCAAUCUUGUCAUUUUAAAAAAUUUUAAUCUAUUUCUUCUACUAUUUUUCAUUAUUCUUAAUAAUAUCUAACAAAAUUUUAACUAUCCUAAAAGUAAAGAAAUAUCAAAUCAAACAAAAAUUUAUUAU
rnacentral:lncRNA from 1 species